ensembl:snRNA U6 U6 spliceosomal RNA
GUGCUUGCUUCGGCAGCACAUACACUAAAAUUGGAAUAAAUGAAAGAUUAGCAUGGCCCCCAUGCAAGGAUAACAUGCAAAUUCAUGCACUGAUUUAAAUUUAA